rnacentral:rRNA from 1 species
GAGUAAUGUCUGGGAAACUGCCUGAUGGAGGGGGAUAACUACUGGAAACGGUAGCUAAUACCGCAUAACGUCGCAAGACCAAAGAGGGGGACCUUCGGGCCUCUUGCCAUCGGAUGUGCCCAGAUGGGAUUAGCUAGUAGGUGGGGUAACGGCUCACCUAGGCGACGAUCCCUAGCUGGUCUGAGAGGAUGACCAGCCACACUGGAACUGAGACACGGUCCAGACUCCUACGGGAGGCAGCAGUGGGGAAUAUUGCACAAUGGGCGCAAGCCUGAUGCAGCCAUGCCGCGUGUAUGAAGAAGGCCUUCGGGUUGUAAAGUACUUUCAGCGGGGAGGAAGGGAGUAAAGUUAAUACCUUUGCUCAUUGACGUUACCCGCAGAAGAAGCACCGGCUAACUCCGUGCCAGCAGCCGCGGUAAUACGGAGGGUGCAAGCGUUAAUCGGAAUUACUGGGCGUAAAGCGCACGCAGGCGGUUUGUUAAGUCAGAUGUGAAAUCCCCGGGCUCAACCUGGGAACUGCAUCUGAUACUGGCAAGCUUGAGUCUCG